AAUCACAUGGACAGAAUGUUUUGCAAGUUAGUGGUUGGUUUGAAGGUGUUGUAAAUAUGUCACAUAGUUUUUUAUGGUUCCUUCAGUUUUCUAACAAAAUCUGUACUAUUUGGAUAAAAUCUGGUUCCAUGUUAAAAUAAUUAGAGAUUAUUUUAGGGAUUUGUAUUUCUCCUUUGUUCAACUGAAACAUCUCCUCUAGAUAAUUUUCUAUGUGGCUGUAGCUGUUCAUCG
rnacentral:misc_RNA from 1 species